GUGGGGAAUAUUGGACAAUGGGCGAAAGCCUGAUCCAGCCAUGCCGCGUGUGUGAAGAAGGUCUUCGGAUUGUAAAGCACUUUAAGUUGGGAGGAAGGGCAGUAAGUUAAUACCUUGCUGUUUUGACGUUACCGACAGAAUAAGCACCGGCUAACUUCGUGCCAGCAGCCGCGGUAAUACGAAGGGUGCAAGCGUUAAUCGGAAUUACUGGGCGUAAAGCGCGCGUAGGUGGUUCAGCAAGUUGGAGGUGAAAUCCCCGGGCUCAACCUGGGAACUGCCUCCAAAACUACUGGGCUAGAGUACGGUAGAGGGUAGUGGAAUUUCCUGUGUAGCGGUGAAAUGCGUAGAUAUAGGAAGGAACACCAGUGGCGAAGGCGACUACCUAGACUGAUACUGACACUGAGGUGCGAAAGCGUGGGGAGCAAACAGGAUUAGAAACCCGAGUAGUCC
rnacentral:rRNA from 1 species